rnacentral:rRNA from 10 species
GCGAUCAUACCAGCACUAAUGCACCGGAUCCCAUCAGAACUCCGCAGU